rnacentral:rRNA from 1 species
GGCUUAGAGUUUGAUCAUGGCUCAGGACGAACGCUGGCGGCGCGCCUAACACAUGCAAGUCGAACGGAGUUGAGAGGAGCUUGCUUUUCUCGACUUAGUGGCGAACGGGUGAGUAACGCGUGAGGAACCUGCCUCAAAGAGGGGGACAACAGUUGGAAACGACUGCUAAUACCGCAUAAGCCCACGGUCUCGCAUGGGACAGAGGGAAAAGGAGCAAUCCGCUUUGAGAUGGCCUCGCGUCCGAUUAGCUAGUUGGUGAGGUAACGGCCCACCAAGGCGACGAUCGGUAGCCGGACUGAGAGGUUGAACGGCCACAUUGGGACUGAGACACGGCCCAGACUCCUACGGGAGGCAGCAGUGGGGAAUAUUGCACAAUGGGGGAAACCCUGAUGCAGCGACGCCGCGUGGAGGAAGAAGGUCUUCGGAUUGUAAACUCCUGUUGUUGGGGAAAAAGAGGAUGGUACCCAACAAGGAAGUGACGGCUAACUACGUGCCAGCAGCCGCGGUAAAACGUAGGUCACGAGCGUUGUCCGGAAUUACUGGGUGUAAAGGGAGCGCAGGCGGGUAUGCAAGUUGGGAGUGAAAUACAUGGGCUCAACCCAUGAACUGCUCUCAAAACUGUGUAUCUUGAGUAGUGCAGAGGUAGGCG